AUUGAACGCUGGCGGCAGGCCUAACACAUGCAAGUCGAGCGAGCGGCGGACGGGUGAGUAAUGUAUGGGGACUGCCCGAUAGAGGGGGAUAACUACUGGAAACGGUAGCUAAUACCGCAUACUAUCGGAUAACCCAUAUGGGAUUAGCUAGUAGGUGAGGUAAUGGCGCACCUAGGCGACGAUCCCUAGCUGGUCUGAGAGGAUGAUCAGCCAGACGGGGACUGCUACACGGCCCAGAGUCCGACGGAGGCAGCAGUGGGGAAUAUUGCAAAAUGGGCGCAAGCCGGAUGCAGCCAUGCGGAGGGUAUGAAGAAGGCCCUAGGGUUGUAAAGUACUUUCAGUCGGGAGGCGUUACCGACAGAAGAAGCACCGGCUAACUCCGUGCCAGCAGCCGCGGUAAUAC
rnacentral:rRNA from 1 species